GUUCUUCAAGAAUCCACAUUCCUCUAUAAGACCUCUGGAAAGGCUAGGCCCCUCUCAUCCCCAUACAGCAGAUUGUAUCCUACUUGAUACAAGGAGUCAUGAGUUGGAGACCUUCAAUUUAUUGGACUAUAGUAUCUCAAGUGUCAGUGUUGAUCCUAUUAUGAAGACGGUUGUGGACACUGACAGAGUGCAUAAGAAAGCCAACAGGGCAAUAAAAUGAGAGACAGUAUGUGGAUGCUGAUACAAAACAUUAUCUUGGAAGACUGUGCUAUGUUAGAAAGAUUGAAGAUUAAGAUUGAAAUUAGGGUUGCUAAGAGAAACAAAGUUGAAGUUCUCAAAUCAGAAACCCUUACAACUCAAAGGAAUCUGAAAACCAAGACAACAAAUUAUGCUCUCAAAAGUCAUAAAUAUAAAAGAAAAAAAUCACUAGACAUCCCUACUUGGAAUUAAAUGGGGAUAUCUAAUGACCAGAAAUCUCAAAAAUCUCCCUUGAGUAACAUCUGAAAGUUCCAGAGUCCCAGAGGGAUACAAAUCAUGUCCAAAGAAGAAGGGCUGAGGGAUUCAGAGUUAUAUGGCAUUAAUAACCGCAAGUAAGCACCUUUGGAGUGUGUGUACAAAAUAAACAAGAUAAGCGAUGUUUAACUGGUAGGAAAUUUGAAUAUCUAGUAUUAGAGAAAAAAGACAUCACCUUUACCAAGAAGAGAAAAUUAAGUAUAGUUUAGGUGAACAGAAGAACCGAUUCUCUUAAAGUAAAAUCGACAUACAUUUUCAACUUAAAAAAUCUUUUCAUGCUAAGUUUGAUGUAAGUGAUCACUGGAUGACUGGCCAGAGGGUAAAUACAUUAAGACUGAAAAAAAGAAAAAUAAGCAAAAGUUAAUAGAAAGUCCUGGACUUCUAAAGGGGCCAUGUUCCAAAUUUGUUCAGAAGUCAGUUGUUCUACACCACAAACUUGAUUGAGCAUAGGGAGUGUUGUAAUGGUAGUUAGGUUCUACUUACACACAGCACCAAGAGUCUGUCUGCACAAUACACUGGCUGAGAUCUAAAAAGAUCAAAAUCAGAAAUGGGGAUGGGAUGGAGAUUUAGGCCAGAAUGAAAGCAAAUACUUGUGCUGAUCCAGGAUACAAGAGUAGGAGUGUUGUCAGAAUUAGUGACUAAGUUUAAGGGUCCCAACAUGAAAUAAGAGCUGCCAAGCAGAGGUAAUGUGAGGCUAUGAAUGACGAGUUCAGAGGAUUUUCUGAAUUCUGGAAAAAUAAGGUCUUAAUCCCAAGGAUCAUGAAUAUUCCUCUGAGAAAUGCUACUGUCAGAUUUCAAGAUACUGUUGAGCUUCUAACAAAGUACUCCUAACCACUACUGGAGAAUGUGUCUAAAUGAGAAAAAUGCAUCCCAAGCUCCAGCUGGCAGUACCAAAUCAGAAGCUGCAAACUAUCACAACUGGCACAUGGGAUGGAACAUGGAAGGACUUUGGAAAUAUUUGGGUCAAAUUUCCUCAUAUUAAACAAGACAAAACAGGUGAGGAUGCAUAGAGGUAUGUGAUCUACCCCAGGUCACACAGCUAGGGACUGGAAUGCAGAGCUAGAAGAGAGGCUGGUGAAGCCAGUUGGUUGGGAGGAGGCCCUCUCCAGCCCCCCACAGGUAGAAUCACUGGCCUGUGUCCUGCACCUUGACAGAUAGUUAUCAUAGCACUUACCAACUAGAGCCAAGCAAACCUCUCCCCAACCUUCCUCAACCCCCUUCAACAUAAAGACCAUAUUUAAUUUUUCCCUUUAACUCCAG
rnacentral:lncRNA from 1 species